GUCCAAGUCUCCUGGAAAGGAGUAUCAAAGAGGGUGAUAAUCCCGUACUUAACACGACCACCGGUGCUCUGUGAUUACGUCUUCUACGAGUCGAGUUGUUUGGGAAUGCAGCUCAAAAUGGGUGGUGAAUUCCAUCUAAAGCUAAAUAUUGGCGAGAGACCGAUAGCGAACAAGUACCGUGAGGGAAAGAUGAAAAGCACUUUGGAAAGAGAGUUAAACAGUACGUGAAAUUGUUGAAAGGGAAACGAUUGAAGUCAGUCGUGUUCUUUGGAUUCAGCCAGUUCUGCUGGUCUACUUCCUUGGAACGGGUCAACAUCAGUUUUGUCCGGUGGAUAAAGGUAGUAGGAAUGUGACUUCUCCGGAAGUGUUAUAGCCUAUUAUCACAUACACUGGGUGAGACUGAGGACUGCAGCUCGCCUUUAUGGCCGGCCUUCGGGCACGUUCGAGCU
rnacentral:rRNA from 1 species